GGAGACGUGGCAGAGUGGCCGAAUGCACCGGUCUUGAAAACCGGCGAGGUAAUACCUCCGCGGGUUCAAAUCCCGCCGUCUCCGCCA
rnacentral:tRNA from 1 species